rnacentral:pre_miRNA from 1 species
AAUGCAGUUGCUGGGUCAUAUGAUAAGUAUAUGUUUAGCUUUCAAAGAAACUGCCAAACUGUUUUCCAGAGUGGCUGUUCUAUCUUACAUUCCCACCAGCAAU